rnacentral:misc_RNA from 1 species
UACAAAACCGGAAGCAUAAUGGCGGCCGCUGUACAUCCCCCGCUUGUUGUUCCUAUGCGUUAUGAUCCGUCAUUUAAAGUUGAUGUUCGUUUGCAUGAAUCUCUGUUGGCGACGGCCUACACAUCGUCAGACGUUGACAUCGAGAUGAUGUCACUGUGUGCCCAGCUUGAUGCUCUCUGUAAAAAGGAACUCGUCAUGCAACCAUCUCAUCGAAUAGAUCAUGGAAAAACAAGCAGUUCAUUUGUAAACAAAGCCAAUGUUGUGUUCGACCACAUGAGACAGCUGCUGCUGCGAUCCUGUCACCACACAGAUGUUCAGGAAUACAUGGAGAGUAAAGGAAUUGAUCGACUAUUUCCUCGAGCAGCAGCAUACAUCUACCACCCUGACAAGAUGUCUCUGUCCCUGAAGAAAACCAAUCUCGAUAACUAUUUUUCACAGCUCGCUACACUUCACCAGUUGUCAACACUAGCUCGUCAGAUCAACAAUGAUGUCUUAACUCACGACAGACCUAAAUACAUUGCACAUCAACUGGCGUUAUUAUAUCAAUCCAUAAACGCGGUACAGAACAACAAUAUGCUUGCAGUACUGAAGAAGAACAUUGAAGACAAUUUUAAAGUUGUAAAGAGUUGCUUUAUGAACGACGGCGACAGAGAUUCGUAUCCACCAGAACUCAAAGAGUGGUUGUUGACAAUAACAAGCAAUAUUGUAAGCAUCAUUGAAGAGUUUCCAGUUCAACUCACAGAGGACAUGUUACAGCCAGCCUACAUCCUCGCACAGUCGUCAUGAUGUCCACUUGAACACUGACACUGCCUGCUUGUGACCUGCAACUGUGACUUCUGCUGACAGGGGUGGAUCCAGGUGGUGUACACUGACACUGCCUGCUUGUGACCUGCAACUGUGACUUCUGCUGACAGGGGUGGAUCCAGGUGGUGUACACUGACACUGCCUGCUUGUGACCUGCAACUGUGACUUCUGUUGACAGGGGUGGAUCCAGGUGGUGUACACUGACACUGCCUGCUUGUGACCUGCAACUGUGACUUCUGCUGACAGGGGUGGAUCCAGGUGGUGUACACUGACACUGCCUGCUUGUGACCUGCAACUGUGACUUCUGCUGACAGGGGUGGAUCCAGGUGGUGUACACUGACACUGCCUGCUUGUGACCUGCAACUGUGACUUCUGCUGACAGGGGUGGAUCCAGGUGGUGUACACUGACACUGCCUGCUUGUGACCUGCAACUGUGACUUCUGCUGACAGGGGUGGAUCCAGGUGGUGUACACUGACACUGCCUGCUUGUGACCUGCAACUGUGACUUCUGUUGACAGGGGUGGAUCCAGGUGGUGUACAUGGACACAUGGACAAACUUGUGAAAAGGACACUCAGUAAAAGUUUCAGCACAACACAACACAACACAACACAACAAAACACACACACACCUAUACAUGUUACACAUAUGCACACACACACAUACCACACACUAACAUACACACACACGUAUCACACACACACAUAUACGUUACACAGACACGUUUGUGUAUGCACACCACACACUUGUACACACACACAAAAAUAAAAAAUUAACAAUUUAAAAUGGGGGGGGCACUUGAAUAUUUUUAUAUGGGAAGAUCUCUCUGGUUCUCCCUUUGGAUCUGCCUCUGGCUAGCACCAUCAGCAAUUCUGCUAACAAUGUUUUCACGUCUGCUGAAAUAAUCAUGACAUUUACUGGCAGAAUCAUAUUUACUAGCACCAUUUGUUGUCGCAGUCGUGUUUUCUAGAUUAAAUCAAGUCUGCUAGCACAAACAUAUCGGCAUAAUUGAAUGGACUAGCAUAAUCAAGUCUGCCGACUCCAUCAUCUUUGUCAGCAGUGACGAUUUUUUGAUAGCACAGCUAUUAUUCUGUGAGCAGUAAUUUCGUCUGCUCAUACAGUUUUAACAUUUGCUAGCGAAUAGCAGUCAUUUAAACAGUUAAAGUCACAAGAAUAUCAUGGGAUUAUGACAACUUUCUUGUGGUACCAUGAUUGUUGCUCAUUUCAGACUGAGGGGUGAGGGUUUUUUUCUCAAAAACUGGUCUUUUACUAUGUUUUAUGAAGUUUGUAAAUAUUUGCUGCAAUUGUGAGCUUCCUUGUAGUAAUUUCCAUAAAUAAUUUGAUAAUGCUUAUACAUUCCUUUUGACACAUGAUUUUUUAUUGUUAUAUAGGCAGAAGUGACAAAAUCAUGAUUUGAAGAAGUGGGGGCUAAAUGUUUUGUUUCAUUUUUAAUAGCCUUUACUGGGGUUCAUUUGUAUACAUGAACAGAUAUUGAUUCAAAAUAUAUUAAAACCUGUUUUAAGCAGCCUGCUUAAUACACGUCAGUUUAGACAAAACAGGUUACCAGUUGUCGGAAAUGGGCUUGAAACCUUAACCAUCAUGUUGCUUUUAUAUUCUGCAUAUGUCUAUUCAGUCUUCACAAUUCACAUCCGCAUUCUAUAAAAUCGAUGUAAAAGCGGAGGUUAAAUUGAUUUACAUCAGUAUUUGUUUUGCCAACCUAUAUGAUUGUAAGAAGAUACUAAUACAGGAAUAGUGAAAGUUUAUUUUAAGAAUAGGCCUACCAACAAAGCACAUUGAUUUAUUAAUCAUCAGCUAAGGGAUGUCAAACAUUUGAUAUAGGCUUGGAGAAAACCUGCUACUUUAUUUAGCAGCAAGGGACCUUUUAUGUGCACUUUCCCACAGACAGGACAGCACAUACAGCAGCCUUUGAUAUAGCAGUCGUGGGAGCACUGGUUGGGGUGGGAAAAUACAAAUAUACAUAUACUAAAAUAGGAAAAUAGAAAUACCAGUGUGCGGAAAAGUAUUUGUUUUUGCUGAGGCAGUUUCUGAAUUGUCUAUUUAUAUUAUUCCUUCAUUACUGGUCACAAUGGUAAUUCUUUUUAUCACCGGCCUCUGUGGUGUCGUGGUUAUGCCAUCGGACAUAAGGCUGGUAAAUACAGAGUUCGCAACAUGUUACCGACUCCCACCCUACUCAGUGGGUAGGUGUAAGACCACUAUACCCUCUUCUCUCACACUAACAACUAACCCACUGUCCUGGACAAACAGCUGAGGUGUAUGUGCCCAAGACAGCGUGCUUGCACCUUAAUUGGAUAUAAGCACAAAAAUAAGAUGAAAUGAAAUGUUUUUGUCUUGCCUUUCUAAAAAAAAAAACCCGAGAUAUAGGUAUUAUUUUUCCAAUGGUGGUGGUGAUAGCAUCAACUUCUGUGUUGAAGUUUCACAUUUAGAUCAGUUUGUCACAAACCACAAGUACUAGGUCAGUGAAACUUGGUUUGUAGUUGCACCUAUGGAUGUCUAUCACAAUGCACUAAAAUGUUUAUGGUAAGAGAAACACUGAAUUCAGAGGAAUUCUUGUGUUUUUGUUGUGAAGUUAUUGAGCUGAAUUUACAAAGCCUGUUUAUGCAUAAGCGUACGAGAAGGGUGGGGGAGAGGGGAUUAGGAGCAAAACCUCAAAUUCGGGUAAAAAUGAUGGGAGAUAUUGGGGCAAAAUAUGCUAACCUGAGAUCUUUUUACCAUGUAUUUCUAUCAUUCUACCUUCAAAAUUAGUUGUAAUUCAUGUAAAAAUGCGUAGUGAUUCGUUUGCAUCCCUAUAUACACACAGCAGGUAGCUGUUUGGUAGUAAUGCUAAUAUGAUUAAAUGUUAUCUAGAUUCGGGCAUUUUCAUUUAAUUCGGACAAAAGCCAGUCUGCCCCUAUACAAAAAUGGGAGCCCGUAAGUCUGUGUUUACGUCUUACAUUGGUGUAACUACAUACAUUUACACUAUUUGAACACCUGCGUUUAAGAAAAACAGACUUUGUAAAUUCGGCACGUAGUGUUUAUUUUAUUUUAUGUGCUCAUGUGAACUUCAUAAAAUGGCAGUAAAAGUACAUGUAUUAGAAUAUUAUACAUAUUUUUUGUACAUAAUUGAAAAGAUAAGCAAUUUUGUGAUCUCAUUCAACUGCCUGUAUUAAUACCACAUAUAUUUACCCAACGAUCAAAAGAAAAGAAAAAUAUAUCGAUAAAUCUUUUUAAACGGGCUAAUAAAAAUGACACGAAGCACUAAGUUGAUGCAAGUGUUGUAUUUUAAAAGUAUUCAUUAGGUGAGAUAUGAACACACAAUAAGAAUCAUCAAAUGUGAACGUCAUUGCUCACAAACGACACUAGUGGUAAAAUGUGCAAUUUCACAUUAAAAUGUUUCUGAACACUUUCUUUUGAUCGUUGGUAUCUUUAUGCCAGUGUGUCCCAUAUUGUAAUUGUGUUUAUAUCAUGGUGUUUUGCACUUUAAAUCGAUAUCAUAUCAUGGUGUACUACCAGGGCCGGAUUUAGAUCUUGGGGGGCCCGGGGCACUUCAGGUUCGGGGGCCCCUCAACAUAGAAAUUAAUUACAUGACAAAUAAAAAAAUGAAGAAUUUUAUAAUUAUUACAUUUCUUGAUAAAGAAAGUCCUUAUUCUGGGGGGCCCCCUCUGGCUGGGGGGUCCGGGGCAAUUGCCCCCUUUACCCGCUUAUAAAUCCGGCACUGUGUACUACGUAUUUUACCACUGUAUAGCCUCUCGCGUAUUGUUCGUACUGUGGUGUCUAGUAUUUUUCUAUUGUGUUGGAAGUCUUGUUAAGUGGGUGUGUUUUUUUUCUAUGUUGGCAGUAUUACGCAUUUAUUUUACAGGUAUUUAUGUAAAAGAAUCUCUCAAAAUAAAAUAAUUAUGAUAACUG